AUGGCUGUCGGUGGAGUGGGCGGUCCGGACCCCCAACAAAUACUAACAUUCUCCCGGCUGACCCAGACUCCUCCAUUAAACAUAAAUGAAUUUGUGAUGGUUGAAUUUGUGCCUCUGUGUGUGAUGUUGGUUACCAUGGCAGCAACAUCAGCCCUCAGAAUCUCUUCUUCUACCUCAUCUUCCCUCCUUAUCUCUCUCUUUUUCUGUCUCUCUCUCCUCCGUGCUGCCUCCAACAGCACCGUGAGCAAGGACACAUUUCCAUGGCACACUUGGUUCCUGGCCAGGCCCGUCAGCUCUUCCAGGAACAAAGAAAUAGAGCAGAAACCCAUUAAUGUCCAGUUUCUUUAUUUUAUCUCAGCAGCGACACCAACAGCUCUGUUAAGUUCUUCUCAGGCCUGAGUCUCCUCCAACCAGCUUCAUAACCGAUUGUGUGUCUGUUUGUGUGUUUGUGUCUGUCCUGUCUCUCUUCUGUCCUGUCUAUCUUCCAUCCUGUCUCUCUUCUGUCCUGUCUUAUCGUCGUCCUUGUCUUCAUCGUCCUCACUGAGCAGGUCAUUGGCAGCCACCCAUCCUCUGUGGGCCAAGGGCAAACAAAUGGCAGCCUCCCCCCAGCAGCACCAUGCUGGUGCACACAUGCACAAGCAUGGCUGGACCUGGUGCCAUCAAACACCCAUGAGCGAGCAGAGGCACAGUGUGUGUGUGUGUGU
rnacentral:lncRNA from 1 species